rnacentral:rRNA from 1 species
AGUUUGAUCCUGGCUCAGAUUGAACGCUGGCGGCAGGCCUAACACAUGCAAGUCGAGCGGUAGCACAGAGAGCUUGCUCUCGGGUGACGAGCGGCGGACGGGUGAGUAAUGUCUGGGAAACUGCCUGAUGGAGGGGGAUAACUACUGGAAACGGUAGCUAAUACCGCAUAAYGUCGCAAGACCAAAGUGGGGGACCUUCGGGCCUCAUGCCAUCAGAUGUGCCCAGAUGGGAUUAGCUAGUAGGUGGGGUAACGGCUCACCUAGGCGACGAUCCCUAGCUGGUYUGAGAGGAUGACCAGCCACACUGGAACUGAGACACGGUCCAGACUCCUACGGGAGGCAGCAGUGGGGAAUAUUGCACAAUGGGCGCAAGCCUGAUGCAGCCAUGCCGCGUGUGUGAAGAAGGCCUUCGGGUUGUAAAGCACUUCAGCGGGGAGGAAGGCG